GCCCACAAAGCUUCGAAAUCUCUCUCUCGUCGCUGCGAAGAGAUGUCCUCCGCUGGGGCCACCGGUUCCUCCUCCGCCGCCGCCCCCGUCACCGCAGAGAAGCGCUACUUAUGCCACCAAUGCAAUCGGACCUUCACCGCCGCUGGCACCAGGCUCGCCUGCGCCCAUUGCCACGGCGAUUUCGUCGAGGAGUUCGACCUCCCCGACCGGAACCCUAACCCUGCCCCCCACCCCGGUCGUUACUUCCGAUCCUCCUUCGACGAUGUGGAUGCAUUACCCGCAUUCCCUUCUCUCUUGUCCGCCUUCGUCGACUUGGCCGCCGCCGCUGCCGCUGCCGCGGUCAACGUCGAGAACCCGUCGGUCGACGCCAGUGCCGACCCUCUGAGCUCCUUUUCUGCCCCCUCCCUCCGAGAUCUCGUCCAGGCCGUCUCCUUCGGCGGCGCUGCCGGAUCUGGGGGCAGGGGACGCCACUUCAUGGGGAACAUCGGCGACUACUUCGUCGGGCCGGGGCUCGACCAGCUGAUCCAGCGGCUGUCCGAGAAUGAUCCCAACCAGUACGGCACGCCUCCGGCGUCGAAGGCUGCCGUAGAGUCCCUUCCCGACGUCAAGAUCACGGAGGGCUUAUUGGCAUCGGACGAGGCCCAGUGUUCGGUUUGCAUGGACCUGUUUGAGAUGGACGCAGUUGCAAAGCAGAUGCCGUGCAACCACGUCUACCACAAGGAGUGCAUCCUCCCAUGGCUCGAGCUCCACAACUCGUGCCCUGUUUGUCGAUAUGAAUUGCCAACUGACGACCCAGAUUACGAGCGUCAUAGGACGCCUCGAUCCAAUGCAGUGAAUCCAGGUGGUGGUUUGACCACGGGGGCUGUGGCUGGAGAAGUAGACGGCAAUUUGCCGGUGAGAACUUCAGAGAGGAGUUCUGGUGACCAUGGUUAUCCUGCGUCGGGGACCCACUAAUUCUGGAAGCUCAUCUGAGAAUGUUGUCAAUUGUGCUUGUUUAUGUUUCCACAACUUCUUUGAAGGUGUGUUUGAGUUUGUGCAGUUGAGCAGAUUUAUCAAUCUAUUUGCUUGGGAUGAUGACCUUGGUACAUUUGGACUGCUCAGAAAAUAUUGGUCAAAGCGUGCCAAUUUCCACUGAUGAAAGGAUCAUAAUUAUCCAAAACAAUCUUUUAUCUGGCAAAGGUUUCAUGUUUAUUUUUUCCUAGGUACUGCAGAACAGGGGCUGCUAAAAACAUUUUUUGCUUGGGAAUUAAAGCAGGAUAGUGAUGACUUGUGCGUUGUAUACUUCUGCUGCUUUAUUUUUCAGUUCAAUCGCAAUGGUGUCUAUUUUGUAUAAUAUUCAGGUAUUCUUUUA